AAAACCAGGCUUGAGGACAUUGCAACCCCAAGGGGCUGUGCCUCCUUCCAGGAGUCCUGCCAAGCCCAGAAGUUGUGCUCUUGGCCUUGCGUGCUCAUCUGGGAGGCAGCAGCAAUACUUCGCUUUGGCUUGAAUUUCAGUGUCGGGCAUCCCUGCCUCAAAGCUGGUUGAAGCUCAUGGAACCUUUGCCUCUGCCACCUGCACAGUCUGCCAAAGACCCUUCCCAGGGGAGGACAUUCGGGUAAAAUGUACAUUUACUGGGCACUUACUGAAGUCUCACAAGUACGUAACCACUCACCUCACAGCCACCCUCCCCCUUUGAAGGACCACGUGUAAUUACUAAACCUCCUGAGAACCUCUUGGGACAAAAACAACCACAUAUGUGUUUGUGACUCAUGUUUUUCCUGUGGGCACCCUCAAGCUGGCUCAGUAGCCCUCACUUGCUUGAGAUCCUGAAUCUGUGGGUUGGUAUCUUUCAUGGUUGCUGGAUAAUACUCUGCCGUUAUCUCUUCGGAUAUGAAUUGCCCCUAGCCCGCUAUCUGGCCCCUCUCUUUAGGGACCU
rnacentral:sRNA from 1 species